rnacentral:pre_miRNA from 1 species
AAUAGAUGACGUCAUUGACUUUUUUUUCACAUGUUUGACCAUUUGUUUUAUUCAAAAAAUUUUCAUAAUUAUAAUUUAUUUUAUGAUGAGUUGUUUUAUUACUCAUAGUACUUUAAGUGUGAUUUAUAUCUUAUACAUUUGCAUAAAAUUUUUGAAUAAGACAAAUGGUCAAACAUGUGAUAAAAAGUCAACGGCGUCAUCUAUU